GGCCGCGUAGCUUAAUGGUACGGAGCACUCAGCCGGUAUCCGAGAGGUACGGAGUUCGAUUCUCCGUAGCCG
rnacentral:tRNA from 1 species